rnacentral:lncRNA from 1 species
AUGGAAGUUCCCAGGCUAGGGGUUGAAUCACAGCUGUAGCCACCAGCCUGUGCCACAGCCGCAGCAAUGCAAGAUCCGAGACACAUCAGUGACCUCCAUGCCAAAUCCUUAAUCCACUGAAUGGGGCCAGUGAUCAAACCUGAGUCUUCAUGGAUAUUAGCCAGGUUCAUUACUUCUGAGCCACAAUGGGCACUCCAGAGUCUAAUUUUUAUUUUUUAAGUACUCCUAGGGAAUGUAGCAGUUAAGAAGUAAUAGAGCCUGAUAUGUCCUAAAUUUAAUUCUAAUUUUGUCCCUUACUGGUAUUUAUUAAAUAUCCAAUUAUAUUACUUCUUUCACUAUCAUUAGUGAUGAUAAUAACAUGAUCAUGCUAACCCUGAUGGGAAUUACUAAUUAUCUAAGAGUCUUGACAUCACUGAGUGAAUGAAAACUGAUCCCAACCUUAUUUUGCUUUCUUCAAAGUCAAGUGGAAGUGCAUCGCCUCAUUCCAAAGGCCCAUACGGCCAUCACACUCAUGCUCUAUGGAAAGUGUAAAUAUAGGUGCUUUUCAAAUGUUACAUAGAUAAGAAGAUGCUACCAUAAAAGUUGAUUUGCAGUCAGGUCUGGGUGUUCCAUCACUCUUCAAGAGCUGGAUAGAUUUGUAAUGAGGUAUGCUCUCUUUUCUAAUUCUGCUGUAGGAUAGCAGCAUGGUAUCUGAAGAUCACGAGCUGGAGUAGGCUUAUUGAGUGGUAGUAAAUGAUGAAGCCUAAGUAUUCCAGAAUAACAAUCUCAAGCUAAAUCUGCAGACAAGACACACACACACACACACACACACACACACUCACCCUCCCAUAAACUCACUCAUGUCUCUAUGAAAACUACCUGAAUCAGCCUGCGUUUUUUUUCCUGUUGCUUUCCCACAUUCACUGACAAAGCUCUUCUGUCUAACUUCACUGAGCAACUUCUGGCCAAUCCUUUUAUUUACUUUUAUGGACUCAGCACCCCACACACAGCCCCACCCUAACUCUUGGCUAGGUGAACUCAUCCUUUACUGUAAAGAUGCAGGCCACUGGCAUCCAUCACACGCUCUUUUCUCUAAUGCAGGGAAUCUGCCAUUCCUCAUUCCUCCUUAGAGAAAGAAAGCUGCCCUCCUGUUCUUAAAAGUUGUUCGAACAAUCCAAGUUCUUAUCUUCAUUGGAUGCACUCUUUCUAUUUUAGUACCUUCAUCCUCUCCCUCACUGACAGUGUUUCCUCCUUUGCAAAAACUGAACAUUAUAUUUACCUCAGAACUGCUGUGAUACAACUGCCUCCUUUGUUCACUUUCUCCUACUCCCUAACAAUGGUCAGUUCCCCAUUAUUGAAUGUCUACUAUUCUAAGCUCCUUAUAAUUUUGUAUUCUCCUUUCACCUCAUUCCUGAUAAUUCUCAAAUGGCUUCUUCCUCAUGUCUCAUCUUAAUUCCAGGCUUGAAUCACCAAAUCCUAGCUCUAUGAUGAUCUCAUCAUUUGAUUUAUCUUACUCUUCUUAAAAAGAAAUUCCUACUGUGCCUUUCCCUGAAAAAUCUUCCCUAUCUUUUCUCUCUCCCAUGACCCCAUCUCAGUUUCCUUCAUUUCUGCUCAGAUUACAUGUCAGUGUUUUCUAGACUCUGUCAUCUUCUCUUCUUUCUUUAACUCCUAUUUUUGUACAAUCUCAUCUAUGCAAAAUGUCACCUAAGACUUAAGCUUUAAUAAUUUCCAACCCCUUUAUUCCACCCUAGUUCUCUCUCUCAAGGUCUAGUCUCACUUUCACAAUUUAAGUCCUAGACAUUUUCAUCAAUUAAAUUUAUAUCUUAUGGAGUUCCUGUCAUGGCUCAGCAGUUAGCAAACCCAACUAGCAUCCAUGAGGAUGUGGGUUGGAUCCCUAGC